UGGGGAAUAUUGGGCAAUGGGGGAAACCCUGACCCAGCGACGCCGCGUGAGGGAAGAAGGCCUUCGGGUCGUAAACCUCUUUUGUACGGGAAGAAGAAGACGACGGUACCGUACGAAGAAGUCCCGGCUAACUACGUGCCAGCAGCCGCGGUAAUACGUAGGGGACGAGCGUUGUCCGGAAUUACUGGGCGUAAAGGGCGCGCAGGCUGCGCGUCGAGUCGGCGGUGAAAGAUCCGGGCUCAACCCGGUGAAGCGGUCGAGACCGACGUGCUGGAGUGCUGCAGGGGCAAGUGGAAUUCCCGGUGUAGCGGUGAAAUGCGUAGAUAUCGGGAAGAACACCGGUGGCGAAGGCGACUUGCCGGGCAGCAACUGACGCUGAGGCGCGAAAGCCAGGGGAGCGAACG
rnacentral:rRNA from 1 species